CUAAUAUGGCUAAUUUUUUAAAACUCAAGAAUAACCAUCUAAUUCCAGUUAAACAAGAGAUUUGCCUCUGCAAAUUAAUUGUCUUACGUGCUUCUCUAAAGAAAGGAAGUAAUCAGUAAAUUUAUCUCAAAGAUGUGAUGUGAUGUGAUGUGAUGCUCUUAAUUUUUAAAGUUCUUUACCUCAAAUUUGUGCUUUCAUAAUGAUACUGUUGGGCUGUCCUACAGAGAACUUGGGGCUCUCAGCCUCUUACUUCAGGGUUGCAGCAGAAGACUUUUAAACAUCUUUCUUUAUCCAGAAUUGCUGUACAUAUGGUAGAAAAUGUACAAAGUGGUAAUGCAGCACAUUAUUCAAAAGCAACGUUUGUAUAAAGCCAUGUCAAAUGCAUGCAUGCUCUGUGUUUCAGUAUGGCAGAAAAGGAGCCUCUCAUCUCCAGGCAGUCCAGUCCUUCUCACAGUCACAUUGAGUAAUGAAGGCCUGCAGUCAGAAAAACUUUGCAGAACACAAACAAAUAAUUACCAGUUUUUGUAUCAGGAUCCCAGGACGGCGUGGGACAAGAAAAAGGCCUCCUGCACUACGUGGAACAAAGAUGCACAUGCACACGCAUGCACGCCACUCUGGGUGGGAUCUGGAUUUAAUAACAUCCAUGGACAACCCAUGCAAAAUAAGAAACAGCAGAAAAGAGCAUACUUUGAGGAGCAAAAUAUUUGGGUGAAUUUCCUCUUGUAUAUUUGGAGAAGCUCGGGACUUGGAACUCUCUGAAGCAUAAACUAGCUCUUCUUCCUCUCCCCAGAGAACCUAGUAUUUACGGGUAUGGAGAAAAGCAGUGGAGAGUCAUAAGGAGGGCAUUUGCAUCAAGGUAUUGCUUCAGCCAAGGAGACCCAAAGCAUUCUAAUAGUUCUAAGGUGAUAAGACAUGUGGGUUAAAACAGGGAUCCAUGCUGAGCUAGUACAGACAUUGUGAAAUGGAAAAUAAUUCUACAACUGCAAAAUACUGGCAGUGUUUCAAAUCAAGCAAAUUCUUCCUGCUUAAAUGAUCAGUUUCUACACGAUGGCAGCGUUAUUUGCUUUCUGGAUUUUCUUUGUGUUGUUUCAUAUUUCCAGGACCGUGGUAAACGUGAAGGUCAUAAUGAACUGUUCAAGGAACAUGAGGUUUGUGGGGUUAGAGAUGUCAUCCCUGUUGCCUACAAUUGAAUCUGAGAAAUAGAAAUUUCACCCUUUCCAGCUCAUUAUUUGGCAGUGUGCCCAAUGAAGUAAUUUUCCUUUGAUUAUGCAGCCAGUCAUGAACUUAUGAAUAGAUUUGAUGAUUGCAUGCUGUAUUUAUUUAUUUAUUUUCAUUUAUGGAUUUUAUUCUGACUAGAGGCUAUACAGUAUGUUAUGCUACCCAUCAGACUUGGCUCCAGAGUCAAGCUUAAAGAACAGUUUUGAUCUUGCCAACUUAUUCAGCCUACAGUCACUCAGCCCACAACACAUUGUCAGCUCUGCUAAAAAGAGCCAAAUAAGACUUUAUCAUAAUGUUUCCUCCCUGAUUCCCCACAGAAGACAGUACAUUUCUUGAAACAGAUUGGGCAGAAGUUCUUGUGGUACUUGGCCAAGGGCUCUGUUAAUAUUUCAUGGGCUCAGAAGAAGCAGCCUGGUCAUGUUAACUGUUGAGUGCUGAAGGGGAGCCAGGAAGAGAACAAUUCUUUCUCAUGGAGUUACAGGAACACUCUGCUCAUAAUAUAUCUAUAUUUUUAUGAGCUACAGCAAACUGUGAACACAGGAGGAAAUGUAAUUUCCCCUAUAAUGCUGUGCUGAAGAGAAACAUCAUGUCCUAGGAUCACAGAAUAAGGGCUACUGAACUGCACGUGAGGAAUAAAAUCCUCCACAGGCACCCA
rnacentral:lncRNA from 1 species